rnacentral:rRNA from 1 species
GACAGAGGUGCCAAGCGUUAGGCGGAAUCACUGGGCUUAAAGCGUGUGUAGGCGGGUGCCUAAGUACCUUGUGAAAUCCCACGGCUCACCCGUGGAACUGCUCGGUAUACUGGUCGUCUUGAGCCUUCUAGGGGCGAGUGGAACAAAUGGUGGAGCGGUGAAAUGCGUAGAUAUCAUUUGGAACGCCAAUGGUGAAAACAACUCGCUGGGGAAGUGCUGACGCUGAGACACGAAAGCCAGGGGAGCGAACGGG